rnacentral:rRNA from 1 species
UACGUAGGGUGCAAGCGUUGUCCGGAAUUAUUGGGCGUAAAGAGCUCGUAGGCGGUUUGUCACGUCGGCUGUGAAAACCCGAGGCUCAACCUCGGGCCUGCAGUCGAUACGGGCAGACUAGAGUAUGGCAGGGGAGACUGGAAUUCCUGGUGUAGCGGUGAAAUGCGUAGAUAUCGAGAGGAACACCUGCGGCGAAGGCGGGUUGCUGGGCUGACACUGACGCUGAUGCGCGAAAGCCAGGGGAGCGAACGGG